CGAUCACAACUGCCUUUAGCUC
rnacentral:misc_RNA from 1 species